ACCCGCUGAAUUUAAGCAUAUAAGUGAGUGGAGGAUGACACAUCAACUGAAUUUCCAUUAGUAAUGGCGAAUGAACAUGGAUUGGCUCAGUGUGGUAACCAGGGUUUGUGGCCCUGACUUGUAGCCUCAAGGUGUGUUGCCAGCAUGAAGUUGCUGAUGGGUGCCUUCUGGAAAGGAGUAUCAGUGAGGGUGAGAACCCCAUGUGGCAUUAGCAUUUCAUCAUGCACGGCAUGCUCUGCAGGAGUCACGCUUCUCGGGCCUGGAGCACAAAUUGGGUGGCAACCUCCAUCUGCAGCUGAAUAUCAACCCAAUGUCGAGAGCAAACACGUACCCUGAAGGGGAAGGCGAAUAAGGACUUUGUGAAGAGAGUUAACAGUGCCUGAACUUGCUGAAAGUAAAGCAUACUACACCAACGCAAUUUGGUGGGAUUGCCUUGGGUGGUCGUCGUACCAUACUUGUGCAAGCAGUGGGUGGGUUGAUUGGUGGCACCAGGGUGGUUCUUACCCUGUCUGUCAGUUGGUGCAUGUGCGUUGGACAGAAGUUUGAGUGUGGCAGCCACCUGUUUGGGUGGACGAGCCUGUUGGCUUACAUCUCUGCAUGUGCAUUUGUUGGCCAAAUGGUCAAUGUGGCCCGUCUUGAAACACGGACCAAGGAGUCUAAUCAUGUACAAGCUAGUUGGUGCAACCCCUGCUUGGGCAGUAAAAGCAAAUCCUGGUAUCCAUUUGUCAGUGGCCAACCUGUCAGUUAAGGACAAGUUCGAGUAUGAGUGUGAGUGUUAGGACCCGAAAGAUGGUGAACUAUGCCUGUGAAGAGUAAACACAGGGGAAACCCUGAUGGAGGCGCGCCGUGUUACUGACGUGCAAAUCGUUCGCCAUACAUGGGCAUGGGGGCGAAAGACUAAUCGAACCAUCUGGUAGUUGGUUACCUCCGAAGUUUCCCUCAGGAUAGCUGGAGCUGGACAGCUUCACCAGGUAAAGCGAAUGUCUAGAGGAAGUGGGGGCAUGCUGCCUUUGGCCUACUCUCAAACUUUAAAUGGGUGAGGAUCAGUGGUUGUUUGUGUGAUUCACUUUGCAAGUUGCUAGCUCCACGUGGACCAUUUUUGGUAAGCAGAACUGGUGAUGAGGGAUGAACCUAACAUUGGGUUAAGGCACUUCACUGCUUGCCUAGCAUAUACCAUAAAAGGUGUUGGUUCAUUUCAACAGUAGGACAGUGGUCAUGGAAGUUGAAAGUUGCUAAGGAGUGUGUAACAACUCACCUGCCGAAUGGGCUGGCCCUGAAAAUGGAUGGCACCCAAGCGAGUGGCCAGCUCCCAAAUCAUUGAAACAACAGUGUUUGGAUCAAUGAGUAGGAUGUUACAACAGGGCUUGUGGCAAACAUCCUUGGUGUGAGCCUUGGCGGAUCAGCCCCAUGUGCAGAUCUUGGUGGUAGUAGC
rnacentral:rRNA from 1 species